UACGAAGGAGGCAAGCGUUGUUCGGAAUAACUGGGCGUAAAGGGGGUGUAGGCGGAUCGUUAAGUCGGAGGUGAAAGCCCAGGGCUUAACCCUUGAAUUGCCUUCGAUACUGGAGAUCUGGAGUGUGGGAGAGGUGAGUGGAAUUCCGAGUGGAGAGGUGAAAUUCGUAGAUAUUCGGAGGAACACCAGAGGCGAAGGCGGCUCACUGGCCUACUACUGACGCUGAGACCCGAAAGCGUGGGGAGCAAACAGG
rnacentral:rRNA from 1 species